GACGAACCGUGCGAACGUUAUUCGGAAUCAUUGGGCUUAAAGGGCGCGUAGGCGGCGGUGUAAGUUGGAAGUGAAAUCCCAUCGGCUCAACCGUGGAAUUGCUCCCAGUACUGCAUCGCUCGAGGGGGAUAGGGGUCUGCGGAACUACCGGUGGAGCGGUGAAAUGUGUUGAUAUCGGUGGGAACGCCAGUGGCGAAAGCGGCAGACUUGACCCUUCCUGACGCUGAGGCGCGAAAGCUAGGGGAGCAAACGGG
rnacentral:rRNA from 1 species